CAGCCGCCGCGGUAAUACGAAGGGGGCUAGCGUUGCUCGGAAUUACUGGGCGUAAAGGGAGCGUAGGCGGAUCGUUUAGUCAGGGGUGAAAUCCCGGGGCUCAACCUCGGAACUGCCUUUGAUACUGGCGAUCUUGAGUAUGGGAGAGGUGUGUGGAACUCCGAGUGUAGAGGUGAAAUUCGUAGAUAUUCGGAAGAACACCAGUGGCGAAGGCGACACACUGGCCCAUUACUGACGCUGAGGCUCGAAAGCGUGGGGAGCAAACAGGAUUAGAUACCCGUGUAGUCCCUGUCUCUUAUAU
rnacentral:rRNA from 1 species